UCUGUGGUAGAAAGUUUCCAAGGGUUUGCCGUCCCAACCCCUAAAGUACCCCUCCUCCCUCCAACCAAUGGUCCAAAAGUCAACGGCACAGGUGAGGAUCUCACCAAACCACACCAUGUGCUUAAGGUUUACGUAAACGGAGAUAGACUUAGCAGAUUUGGACUCGGUUAGAACAAAGUAUGUUCCGGUGCUCUGGCCAAGACUCAGGUGAUGGAUCACCGGAAAAAGAAUAAAGGAAAAAACCAGAGCAGGUAAAUGUUUACCCAUACUGUUGCACAAUGGAUGACAGCAUAAAUGGGAGUGUUUUUGUUUUAGCUAUUCUAAAUAUUUUAAAUGGAGUUGGCUUUCAGGUUGUAUACAUUUGAAUUUAUUUCAGAUCUUAUUUUUGAAUACCUAGUAUUGUCUGACCUGCACUGCAGUAAAAGAGGAUUGGGUCUUUCUGACUGAACAUUUUUUGUUCAAAUGUCAUUAUUCAUCUCCAUGUUGCACAUUUCUCACUUUUCUUCGUUUCUUAUCCUCCACAGCUGCUGGAGAUAAAUUAUCCAAUGGAUCUGUUAUGUCUGACCACGUGGAUGAUGAAAUAUUUGUUCCUCCUCCUCCUUCAAUGUCACCUCCACCCCCUCCUUUGAAUUUUAUUCCUCCACCAGGCUUCAUGGGAGACAUGAACAGCCUGGACUUGGCAGCCCUUCAGCCUCCUUCUAUGCCUGCACCAAAACUGCCACCAUCCAUGAAAGAGGAGGAUCUGUCCAACCUAAAACCUCCAGCAAUGGCGCCCCCGAAACCACCAUCUACCUCCUCCUCUGGCUCUGCCUCAUCAGUGCCCACUUACAUUCCACCACCACCCAAUGUUCCUGAGCCUCCAACUUUUUCCCCGCCAAAGCCUCCUCUUGAGAAACAACUCAGAACUCAGAAGAUACCACCAGCAAAGCCUACCAGAUUGUCAUCCAUUUCCCUCACUGACUCCCCACCACAUAGUCCUGCACCACCUCCCCCAGUGGACACACCUUCAUUGUCCACCUUCAAUCCAAAAAACAAAGCAAAGGUUUAUGACAGUCCAAAGGCCACAUUUCUGGGUAAACAAGAGGAUCACAUGACCAGACCAAAGCAAAUGCUCCUCCUUGAAGAUUCUAAGUCAGGUAACUCAGUUCCUGUGCUCGUAGAUGGAAAUGUUACCCAACUGUCUAAAACAGAUCCCAAAGAAGUACAAAAACCAAAGGAGGACAUAAAAGAUGCCAUCAUCGCCCAGACGCCUCAAAAACCCAAAGCUGACCCAAAGACAGAGCCAAAGGUGGAGCCAAAGACAGAGCCAAAGGCGGAGCCAAAGACAGAGCCAAAGGCAGAGCCAAAGACAGAAACGGUUUCAAUACAGCCAGAAACAAUCAAACCACUUGAGCCUCCGCAGCAACAGAAGGUGAACAAUGUUCAGACUAAUUCAGAGGCCAGUAAGAACAAACUGGAUUCAUCUCCGGGUCAAAGCCGGAGCUUCAGCCCAAUGUUGGAUCGCAAACUACGCAACCUGAAGGCUAAUGACACCACCGGAGCCCGGGAUGCCCAUGCAGCAUCACCACUGGCUCUCCUACAAGCAGCUAAAGAAAGAGAUAAACAACGAGCGAAUAUCUCGUUGUCGCGGGAAAGCAGCACCCGGAUCAGCGACGAUUCCAGCUCAGGCAUUCACCCGAGUGACUCCAGUCCAAAUUCUUUCAUCGUUGUCCCAAAAUCCAGCUCAGCUUCUUCAACACCAUUACAAGAAAGGUUACAAGAGAUCCCACAGCCUGUUGGACCUGUAGAACCCAAGGUAGAUAUUCAGGCUUCAGAAACAUCCAGCAACCCCAAAAUUCAGUGGGUCUCAGAUAAGAAACCAUCAAAUGGUCCCACACUUUCAUCAGCAACUGUAAACAAGGUGGCUCAGGAAAAACAAACAGCAAAAGAACAACCUUCAAAGCCCCAAGCUGUGUGGCAGAAGGACCACAAAGAGGAUCUGAACAUGCCUGUGCUCCCACCACCACCAGAGUUUGGUGACUUCUUUGAGAUAAUGGAGCCACCCCCAUCCAUCUGUCCACCCAGUCCCCCUGCUAAAAAGACCCCGAUGCCAGCUGUAGGUCCACCUCCUCCAGCUCCACAUCCCCAUACACCUCCCAAACUCCCACCCCCGGACACAGACAUCAAACUAAAGCCACAAGUCAAGACGAAAACCAAGUCAACCCCCAACCAGCUACCCCCGACUCUCUCAGCCAAUCAGGCCACUCUCCUUAGCAUCUUACAAAAGAAGAUGAUUGAAAUGGACCAAAAAAUGGCCCCAGUGAAUGAAACGGAGUCCAGUCCUGAUGACUGGGGUACCACAGCGUCUGAAGACAGCAACAAGGUCCCUGUUGUACGGAAAGCCAAAACACAGCCGCAGCCUCCCCCUACAAACAACAAACCGGCCAGCAUGGACAUGAAGGAGUUGGAAAGUAAACUGGUCAAGAAGUAUCAGGAGAGCCCCAAAGUAAAAUCUCCCACCAGUGACGGAGCCAAAUCCAGACAACAGUACGGCAUGACUUUCACCGUCCGGCCUGGAACUAAGCAGCCCAUCACCCUUGUUAACAAAGAAGAGUCUUAA
ensembl:lncRNA